AGUAUCACACUCGAUCUACCUUCACCAUCAUGUUCACUAAGACCGUCGUCGCUCUCGCCCUUGUGGCCGUCACUCUGGCUGCUCCUUCACAGCCUUCCUACGGAUAUGCUCCUCCUGCAACCUAUGACGCUCCUGCAAGUACGACUUCAACUACGCCGUGAAGGACGACUACUCCGGCAACGACUUCGGUCACCAGGAGGCCCGUGAUGGCUAUGACACCCAGGGAGCCUACUACGUCUCCUUCCCGACGGUCGUCUGCAGAAGGUCGCCUACGACUGUCAACGGGACUCCGGUUACGUGGCUGAGCAGCUACGAGGGUG